rnacentral:rRNA from 1 species
GACGAACGCUGGCGGCGUGCCUAAUACAUGCAAGUAGAACGCUGAAGGGGGAGCUUGCUUCUCUGGAUGAGUUGCGAACGGGUGAGUAACGCGUAGGUAACCUGCCUGGUAGCGGGGGAUAACUAUUGGAAACGAUAGCUAAUACCGCAUAAGAGUAGAUGUCGCAUGACAUUUGCUUAAAAGGUGCAAUUGCAUCACUACCAGAUGGACCUGCGUUGUAUUAGCUAGUUGGUGAGGUAACGGCUCACCAAGGCAACGAUACAUAGCCGACCUGAGAGGGUGAUCGGCCACACUGGGACUGAGACACGGCCCAGACUCCUACGGGAGGCAGCAGUAGGGAAUCUUCGGCAAUGGACGGAAGUCUGACCGAGCAACGCCGCGUGAGUGAAGAAGGUUUUCGGAUCGUAAAGCUCUGUUGUAAGAGAAGAACGAGUGUGAGAGUGGAAAGUUCACACUGUGACGGUAUCUUACCAGAAAGGGACGGCUAACUACGUG